rnacentral:rRNA from 1 species
GAUGAACGCUGGCGGCGUGCUUAACACAUGCAAGUCGAACGAAGACAUCUGAGUGCUUGCACUUGGAUGGACUGAGCGGCGGACGGGUGAGUAACGCGUGGGUAACCUGCCUUAUACAGGGGGAUAACAGUUGGAAACGACUGCUAAUACCGCAUAAGCGCACGGUAUCGCAUGAUACAGUGUGAAAAACUCCGGUGGUAUAAGAUGGACCCGCGUCUGAUUAGCUUGUUGGUGAGGUAACGGCCCACCAAGGCGACGAUCAGUAGCCGGCCUGAGAGGGUGAACGGCCACAUUGGGACUGAGACACGGCCCAAACUCCUACGGGAGGCAGCAGUGGGGAAUAUUGCACAAUGGGGGAAACCCUGAUGCAGCGACGCCGCGUGAGUGAUGAAGUAUUUCGGUAUGUAAAGCUCUAUCAGCAGGAAAGAAAAUGACGGUACCUGACUAAGAAGCCCCGGCUAACUACGUG